AUUGAACGCUGGCGGCAGGCCUAACACAUGCAAGUCGAGCGGAUGAAGAGAGCUUGCUCUCUGAUUUAGCGGCGGACGGGUGAGUAAUGCCUAGGAAUCUGCCUGGUAGUGGGGGAUAACGUUCCGAAAGGAACGCUAAUACCGCAUACGUCCUACGGGAGAAAGCAGGGGACCUUCGGGCCUUGCGCUAUCAGAUGAGCCUAGGUCGGAUUAGCUAGUUGGUGAGGUAAUGGCUCACCAAGGCGACGAUCCGUAACUGGUCUGAGAGGAUGAUCAGUCACACUGGAACUGAGACACGGUCCAGACUCCUACGGGAGGCAGCAGUGGGGAAUAUUGGACAAUGGGCGAAAGCCUGAUCCAGCCAUGCCGCGUGUGUGAAGAAGGUCUUCGGAUUGUAAAGCACUUUAAGUUGGGAGGAAGGGCAGUAAGUUAAUACCUUGCUGUUUUGACGUUACCGACAGAAUAAGCACCGGCUAACUUCGUGCCAGCAGCCGCAGUAAAAC
rnacentral:rRNA from 1 species